GCCCAUAGCUCAGCUGGUAGAGCAUGAGACUCUUAAUCUCAGGGUUGUGGGUUCAAGUUCUGUGUUGGGCA